rnacentral:rRNA from 2 species
AGACCCGAAACCCGGUGAUCUAGCCAUGGGCAGGUUGAAGGUUGGGUAACACUAACUGGAGGACCGAACCGACUAAUGUUGAAAAAUUAGCGGAUGACCUGUGGCUGGGGGUGAAAGGCCAAUCAAACCGGGAGAUAGCUGGUUCUCCCCGAAAGCUAUUUAGGUAGCGCCUCGUGAAUUCAUCUCCGGGGGUAGAGCACUGUUUCGGCUAGGGGGCCAUCCCGGCUUACCAACCCGAUGCAAACUGCGAAUACCGGAGAAUGUUAUCACGGGAGACACACGGCGGGUGCUAACGUCCGUCGUGAAGAGGGAAACAACCCAGACCGCCAGCUAAGGUCCCAAAGUCAUGGUUAAGUGGGAAACGAUGUGGGAAGGCCCAGACAGCCAGGAUGUUGGCUUAGAAGCAGCCAUCAUUUAAAGAAAGCGUAAUAGCUCACUGGUCGAGUCGGCCUGCGCGGAAGAUGUAACGGGGCUAAACCAUGCACCGAAGCUGCGGCAGCGAACGUAUCACCCAAGACAACUUUACGGAGUUGACGAUUGACGGAGCGAAGCGACGUCAAAGCGUUCAUUAAAGUCGAGUUGGCUUAGGGAUACGUUCGUUGGGUAGGGGAGCGUUCUGUAAGCCUGUGAAGGUGUGUCGUGAGGCAUGCUGGAGGUAUCAGAAGUGCGAAUGCUGACAUAAGUAACGAUAAAGCGGGUGAAAA